UCAUAUUAUAGGUUUUUUAAUUUUUUUGAAAAGUAACUGGCUUCACAAACACCAAGUACAACAUGAUUUAGACAACUGAGAAACAGGCAAGUAUAUUUUGAAGUGCUAAAAUAAAACAUAUUUAUACAAGUACAAAGCAAAACAAUGCUGAUAAAAAUGUUAAACUUUAUGAAAAAAAAUCAUUUGCAAUUCACAUCAAAAUAAUUUAACAUUCUCUAUUAUUUUAAUAGUACAAGCUGCCACAACAGAGAAAGAACAGAUACACGCACACAAUUUUAAAACCAAAUCAGUUAUAAGUGCAGAAAAAAGUAAGUACAAGCACUUUUAGCCCACACAAAUCUUUUAGGAUUGGCACCAUCUUUCUAAAACAUCUAUAAUCUAUAUAGAUUUCUAAUUACAACACCAUCAGCAGCUGCCAUUGAUUUCUAGAAAUACACACAAUAUACAUAGUAUAUUUGUUCACAUUGGGAAGAUCAGUGAAAUUCAACCAACUAUUUUAUACAUGCCUCAUUCUUCAAUAGACAGUAGAGACUCUCCCAGGCCUCAGACCCUCUUCAAAGUGAAUUCUGACUUGUCUUUAUGCUUUCACUGAUCUGUAUUUUUUCACAGUAUAAAAUUGUAAAUGGUAACUAUAGAGAUUCUGACAGCUUGAGGGUUAUUAAUAAGCUGUUGCUAAAUGUGAACUCACAUAAUACCUUUGAAGUCUCCAAAACAUGUACAUUUUACUGGGAGACUAGCAUAGGAAAUGCUUUUGUUUUUUGUUAUUCUUAAAAAGAGCAUUUAAUUCCUGGCUUGGAAGUCACAGAACUGCAGCAGAGCUAUUAUACAAUUCAUUUACAGUCAGAAAUAGCUCCUAGUCUUCCUGAUCACUUGCUGGUAACAGCAGUAGUUUGGGAAAGAUAGUUACUUUCAAGGAUUAGCACGUUUGGGGAUUUGCUUUUUUUCCUUGCUUCAGUCAAAUCUCUUAUAAUUUUUCUUUCCAUACUCCCUUUCUGUUCCCCAUCCCUAGCCCAGAAAGACGGUUCUUCCCAAUCCAGAUAUGUUCUUCUUAGGCUGCCCCCACUCCUUUCCCAAAAUAGAAGGAUGAGUGGACUGCUUAGAUUAGUCAGUAUAACUUGGUUAAACCACGUCUUCUUCUUUCCAUCCUGGGACAUAUCUCUCAUUUAGGGUCACUUUGCUGAGCCUUAGCAUAUCCCCUUCCUUUUAGUCAUGCUGGUCCCGACUGAAUUAUCACUGGGCACCAGGAACAGAUUGUUUUGAAGGAAAUUCAAUAAGAAUGUACCCAAAUGAAUUGUGAAGUUCAUAUCCUAUAGCCCUAGAAUGAAUAUUCAUUUCUCUUUGUACUGUAGAGUUAUUACUUGGAACCUGGUAUUAGAAUUGGCAAAGAGACAGAGUUAGCAUCAUUCCAAAAUAAAAGAUCUCAAGAAUGCGUUACUAAUAAUCUUAUGUCCAACAUACAAUGUAUUCAAUGGAGUGGCAAAAGUUACAGAAAUACAGAGAAAAAUAUAUCUUGUUCUCUUCUAAUUGGAUAAAUCAUUUUUAUUGUUACAGUUGAUUAUGAUAGCAUGUGGAAGUAUCAGAUGGCAAUUUACUUGCAUUAAAUUUAAUUUCUAAUGAAGUUUUUUAUAAGGUAGUGUACUUUUUAAGAGAUAUGUUACUAAAAAAUAGAAAAUGAAUUUGACCAUGAACAAAGUUUAAACAUGUUCUUCAGUUGGUCGAGAGUGAAACGUAUUGUACUUGAGAAUAAAAUGAAAAUCAACAUAAGGAUUUUAUGAAACAAAUUUUAAAAUGUAGAGCAUAUCAAGAAAGGUUUUUAAUACAUAAGAAGUCAAGAUAGGAAUCCUCAGGUGAAUGCCAUCCUUUUGAUGAGGAUCCAAAGGGCAUUAAUACCUCAAAAGAUUUCCAUUUGUUUUUCAGAUAGAGGCAGACAUUUGCUUUUAAUGAAACCAUGAAACUUAGCUAGAUUUCACUUACAUUUUAAAAGCCUCAGUGUAAUAUUUGGGAUCAGGGUGCUGUGAUGAUGUUAUUUUCAAAUCUAGCAUGGGAGGCUCGAUUUCUUUUAAAUUAAUACUUUAGUACAUUAAUGUUAGCUUUUAAUGUUUUGUAUUGGGAGGUUUGACUUAAAGUUGCAAGUAAGAACAAAUAGCAGAAAAGAAAACUCAAGCAGAAUAUUUAUUAGAAUUUUUUAAAGUGAAGAAUGAUAAAUUAUGCCAAUGGACUGACUUCUAUUUCUCAGUUUAUUUUCUGUUAAGUAGAUGUGAAAUAAAAAAAAAAUACUUACCAAAGUAAGGAUAUUGAGCUAAAAGAAAAAGUUUUAUUUAUUAUUCUCUCUGCCAAAAUAUACUUCUGCCUCACAGCACAUAUUUUUCAUAAGGCUAUCUUAAGUAUAAGGCUGGGUCAACUGAACUUUAAAUUUAUAGGACACCUCCUCCAUUUAUUACUAUCCUUAUUUAAAAAUCAAAACAUUUGGUACCUGAGGAUAGCUGCAAUGGGAGGAAGAAAGAGAUGACAGUGGAUUCAGGUCUUGAACUAUGAAUUCUACCUAUUUGAGACUAUCAAAGCACACUUGUUUCUGUUAUACUCUAAAUCUCUUUUCUGCAGUUUUAAAAAGUGACAGUAUGAAGUGCACAAAAUCAUAUUAAUCAUUAUUUUAAAAAAGAAAAUAAGAAUUGCUUUGCCUCUUUUUGGAAUGGCUAAGAAAGACUGUGUGGUUAAUAUUCAUUAAGGUUCCUCUUUUUUAGUAUUUUGUAUUGCUUUGAAAAAUCUACAUUUGUCAUAGUUCAUAGCUGCCCUGUUUAAGCAGCCAAGAAUAGUUAAAAUCACUGCUCACUGGCAUAGCUAAAUCUCCACUAAGCUGACUUGACACAGUUAAAAUUGUCAGUGUAUUAAGAUUGUGUUAAUCCUUUCAACAACAGUCUCUCAAAUCAUGACAAUGUCUUCAUGGGGUCUAUGGACCACUCUUCCAGUGGUGGGACUCGAAAAGAACAAAGGAGCUCUUUGUGCAUCAGGUUCUCAAAAUAAAGGAAUGAAGAAGCCCCAAUGCAUAUUUUAAUAUUUUAGUUGGCAAUGCAAACGGAACAGCAUUCCUAAAGAGUGGCCAUGUUUCUUGAAAGAGAUAGCCAGGCUGGAGCUCAAGAAUGAUUAUUAUAAAGAGAAUUUCCAGCUACAAUGCACCCCAGUGAGGGAAUUACAAAACAGUAUUCCAGAAAAUAUUUUUUUUGCUACUCCAGUAUUGAUUGGCAACAUGGUGAAAUAGUCAAGAAAUUUUCCACUGGUUUUCUUGGUUAAUGGAGGUGAAUCUGAAAUAAGUAGGUGGAAUCCCCGAUGCAGGCUUUUGGAAGAGUAUUUCACAACCCAAUUGGAGAGGAAAAUCUCUGGUAGAAGCCCUACGUAGUACAUUAGCGCAGCACUCACUAUCCAGUAGUGUGUUAUGCAUGGGACACAUUCACAACGCCUCCGUAAAUACUGGACCCAAGUUACUGCUUUUCAAGGUCUUUACAGGAAAGAAAAACAAAAAGAAAGAAAAAAGAAAGAAAAAAGUUGAUGUUUUGGUCCCAGAUUUUGAGUUUGUUAGAAAAUGUACAUUCAUGUUUGGUGAAUCAAAGACUCUUCUGGGAAAAGAAUUAAAGUAAACAAAUAAAACUUUUUACAGUUGCUUAUUAACUAUGCUCUUCACCCUCCGUUACGCUGUUUCACACGCACUGCUUCCCUAGAGCAAAGCACUUGGUAUGGAACUGUUUGAAGAGACGCCUUGUCAGCCCUCAAAGAUAUCAGCCGUGUUUCUUAAAAGCCCAUGUUUUCUAAGGCCACUAGAAGAAAAUCUGCCAAAAGAUUUGUCGUCGGUUUCUUCGUCGGUUGUCAUGAGAUAGCACUAUUGAUCUCGUGUUUCCAUUAAGGGGUGCCCUUGGCAUCUUCCCCCUGGGCCGUAACCAGGCGACUAUGCUUGCCAUUGUGUGUGUGAACACGGGGGGCUCCGCUCCGCACGCGCAGGCCGGCGCGCUUUCCAGGGACAUUCACAACGACGAGGAGCUCUGAGUGUAAUCUCUUAUGAUAAGAGUGUCAUAUUUGGGAGACGAUGGGAUACAGAGGGCCGACUCGGACACUGGCGAGUUGGGGGUUGUGCUCCCCGAGUCCACCGAGUCUCUGAAGGGGGACGGCGGGGUGAGAGCCACCAACUCCUCCAGGUCUGGCUUGGCGGCCGCAGCCUCGGGACCGGCCGCGGGGCUCUCCCGGGCCGCGUCCCCAGCCGCCUGCGCCCCUGCCGCGGGCUGCGCGCCGCCCGUGACCUCGAUGGCCGGCAGAGGCUGGAUUUCGGCAAAGGUCGUCAUGGUCGUGGGCAACUGGAUCUCUUUGGGGAUCAGGUGUCCACUAGCUUCUGGAACAUGGCAGAGAAGAAAUGGGCCAGUUUAUUUACGAGAUUUGAUUGGGAGGAUGGUUGCCAACUACACCCUUUCUCCUAUCAAAAGGAUAAGAAACAGGUGUUUCGAAAGUUGAACAUAAUGGAACAUAACUUUGGAUGUUAGCAGUAACAGUCUUUGGAAUCACCUGUAGCCAUGCCCCAAAACAUGAUAGCAUGUUGCAAAACCUCUAGUGCCCAUGGCCAUAAGGGAGAAAGAGCACCAGACCAUCUGAAUAACGUGAAAGUGGACACAGGAAACACCAGACACCCAGAGAAAUGGAGUCCAAAUAGAAACUCAGACCAUUCUUGCUGGAGAUACAUCAAGUGAAUACCUUUGUAGAUCUGUACCUGACCCAAGGAAGCCUGGAUGAUUUGCAAAAGUUUUCCUUCCAUACCUCUACACCACAGAUGGAUUGAGA
rnacentral:antisense_RNA from 1 species